GGGAGGGGCUCAAUGACACAGAGGAAGGAAAUGUUUCAUAACGCUUCCCCAGGCGGAAAACCACGGGGACAAUGGUGAGAACGACCGCCGCCCCCCAUUCCAGAAGCUGAAGCUCCAGUUAGAAGUCAACUUUCUGCUUCCCAUAAGCACAUAGAUCCCAGACUGUUUCGAACCAGAAGGUUAAUGACGCUGGUUCUUGAUUAUCACACCACCAACAAAUCAAGAAAAUGUCUCUGCACUAAUCACAUCCUGCUCCUCAAAUGCUGUAAGACUCCUCACUACCCCCUCCAAGGGCGAGUGGGGCUCCAUCCUUGAGGUACUGGCCUGCCAUGUUCUCCUCUUUGCCUGGCAUUUAAAAAUACUUUUUCUUUUUCCCCAACUCUGUCUCAACCUUUCUAUUUGGCAUCGGUAUACAGAGGCAGCCGAGAUUUUGGCAACCGUGUUGAAUCAAAAAUUAGGAGUGGGUAUAAUUGAGGCCUGUGGACUUUUCAGAAGAAAGGAAGGCUAGAUGCUAUUGAGGCAGAAUAUUAACUCAGACAGGCAGUGUAGGAACAUGGAAUACAUCCUUUGAUACGGCUAUUGAUUAACAUUUGUGGCUUAAGGGCUCCAGGGAGUAACACACCCCACAGGACUUGUUUUAUCUUAGCAAAUGCACGUUCCCCACAGGCUUUGUUUACUAUAGAAAAUGCGAAUCUCUAGCCCAUUCCUCAACUGAUAGAAAAGGAAUGAGAGGAAUGGUGACAGUCUAAGGAAAGAGAAGGACAAAGAAACCCUAAAACUUAUGGGACUUUUACAACCCUAAAGCCCCUAUUGGACAAGGACUGAUAUAGGUAAUUGAGCAAGGCCAACGGGAGAACACCACAUCUUUCUGGACCCCCAUUUGUACCCCCCCCCACCUUUAAGAGAUAAAAUCCCUAUAGGACAAUAAAGAAGGGGGCUCUUCUGCCCCCCUCCCAGCAGCCCUGGGAGCUAUUUGCUUUUCUUUAGUAAAGACUUUGCUUGCUUGCUGCCUGUGUGUUCGAGGAGUUCAUUCUUCGACUGCCGUGAACAAGAACCUGGAUUCUGGUAUCACUAUUUUGUUUGAUAUAUGGGGUAAGGCUUUGUCACUGUGUACGUCUUAAUUUGCCUGGAGUUGUCCAGUCAGUAAUUGAAUUCUGUUAAUUGUAAUCUCAUGUUCAUUUUGCGACUUUUAACACUUCCAUUAACAAUAGAUUUACUGGAGUUCCUGUCGUGGCGCAGCGGAAACAAAUCUAACUAGGAACCAUGAGGUUACAGGUUCGAUCACUGGCCUCACUCAGUGGAUUAAGGACCCAGUGUUGCUGUGAGCUGUGGUGUAGGUCGCAGACUCGGCUUGGAUCUGGCUUUGCUGUGGCUCUGGCGUAGGCCGGCAGCAACAGCUCCGAUUGGACCCAUAGCCUGGNAA
rnacentral:lncRNA from 1 species